rnacentral:tRNA from 1 species
AAUCCGUCGAGUUUAAAAAUCGYGAGGGUUCAAGUCCCUCUAUCCCCAAAAAG